UUAAAUCCAAGCCCUAAUCCACUUCCCACUCCCUCCGAUUCCAACUACGCCUCCGCUCCCCCCUUCUCCACCAAUUAUCCUGCCUCCGAUUACCCUGCUUAUUCCCCUAAUUAUCCCCCUUACUCCCAGAAUCCCGAUCCCGUCCCUGCUUCUCCUACUGCUCCUCUUUACAAUCCUCCCUCAUCCAAUCCUAAUCCCAAUCCUCAGACAUUUAAUCCCACUUCUCAACCACCUGCUUUCCCUUCCUUUGAGUCUCAUGUUCCUUAUCAAUCUCCUUCUCAGUCCCAAUCGUAUUAUUCAACCUACGAUCAGCAUCAUACGGCUCCUAAUUAUGCCCCUACUCCUACUCCUCCACCUUCCUCAAUUCCGAUGAAUCAGACCUCUAAUUCUACCCCUAGUCCUAAUUCUCCCUACUCCCCCAUGUAUUCCGCUCCCUUUGGCUCUUUGGCUCCCCCCUCGUAUGAAAACCCGUAUGAAAGUUCUGUAAAAUUUGAUCAAGGAGGU
rnacentral:lncRNA from 1 species